rnacentral:misc_RNA from 1 species
GACGAACCGUCCAAACGUUAUUCGGUAUCACUGGGCUUAAAGCGUGCGUAGGCGGCCUAGUAGGUGAGGUGUGAAAGCCCACGGCUCAACCGUGGAAUAGCGCUUCAAACCACUAGGCUUGAGGAUGGCAGGGGUGAUGGGAACUGAUGGUGGAGCGGUGAAAUGCGUUGAUAUCAUCAGGAACACCGGUGGCGAAAGCGCAUCACUGGGCCAUUUCUGACGCUGAGGAGCGAAAGCUAGGGUAGCGAACGGG